rnacentral:rRNA from 1 species
GACAGAGGAUGCAAGCGUUAUCCGGAAUGAUUGGGCGUAAAGCGUCUGUAGGUGGCUUCUCAAGUCCGCCGUCAAAUCCCAGGGCUCAACCCUGGACAGGCGGUGGAAACUACCAAGCUGGAGUACGGUAGGGGCAGAGGGAAUUUCCGGUGGAGCGGUGAAAUGCAUUGAGAUCGGAAAGAACACCAGCGGCGAAAGCGCUCUGCUGGGCCGACACUGACACUGAGAGACGAAAGCUAGGGGAGCAAAUGGG